ensembl:snRNA U12 U12 minor spliceosomal RNA
AUGCCUUAAACUUAUGAGUAAGGAAAAUAACAAUUUGGGGUACCACCCAAAUCCUCACUGCUAAUGUGAGAUGAAUUUGUGAGUGCAUACGGGUUGCCCCUAAGGUGAUCCACCUACUUGGUAGGAUGCCUGGGAGUCAUGAUCUGCCCA